rnacentral:rRNA from 1 species
GACGAACGCUGGCGGCGUGCUUAACACAUGCAAGUCGAACGGAAAGGCCUGCUUUCCCUUGUGGAUUGCGGGUACUCGAGUGGCGAACGGGUGAGUAACACGUGAGUGAUCUGCCCCCAACUUGGGUAUAAGCCUGGGAAACUGGGUCUAAUUCCCGAUAGGACUGCAGGGUGGUGCCUGUGGUGGAAAACGAUUUUCUAGUGGUUGGGGAUGAGCUCGCGGCCUAUCAGCUUGUUGGUGGGGUAAUGGCCUACCAAGGCGGCGACGGGUAGCCGGCCUGAGAGGGUGGACGGCCACAUUGAGACUGAGAAAAGGCGCAGACUCCUACGGGAGGCAGCAGUGGGGAAUAAGGCACAGCGGGCGGAAGCCUGAUGCAGCGACGCGGCGUGGGGGAUGACGGCUUUCGGGUUGUAAACUCCUUUGGACCGCGAGGAAGCCACCUGGUUGGAAGGGUGGUGACGGUAGUGGUAGAAGAAGCACCGGCUAACUACGUG